GAUCUGGCUCAGGAUGAACGCUAGCUACAGGCUUAACACAUGCAAGUCGAGGGACAGCAUGGUCUUAGCUUGCUAAGGCCGAUGGCGACCGGCGCACGGGUGAGUAACACGUAUCCAACCUGCCGUCUACUCUUGGACAGCCUUCUGAAAGGAAGAUUAAUACAAGAUGGCAUCAUGAGUCCGCAUGUUCACAUGAUUAAAGGUAUUCCGGUAGACGAUGGGGA
rnacentral:rRNA from 1 species